GGUAAAAUGGCUGAAUUUAGGCAAUAAAUUGUAAAUUUAUUUAUAGGUAUAACCUUUUUACC
rnacentral:tRNA from 1 species